rnacentral:rRNA from 1 species
CACGUAUUUAGCCGGGGCUUCCUCCUAUGAUACCGUCAUUAUCUUCUCAUAGGACAGAGCUUUACGAUUCGAAAACCUUCUUCGCUCACGCGGCGUCGCUGCAUCAGGGUUCCCCCCAUUGUGCAAUAUUCCCCACUGCUGCCUCCCGUAGGAGUUUGGACCGUGUCUCGGUUCCAAUGUGGCCGUUCAUCCUCUCAGACCGGCUACUGAUCGUCGCCUUGGUAGGCCUUUACCCUUCCAACUAGCUAAUCAGACGCGAGCCCAUCUUACACCGAUAAAUCUUUUACCCCUAAGCCAUGUGGCUUUGUGGUCUCAUGCGGUAUUAAUCGUCGUUUCCAACGGCUAUCCCCCUGUGUAAGGUAGGUUGCGUCACGUUGUUACUCACCCGUUCGCCACUUUCAUUUCAUUCCGUCCCGAAGGCUUUCCACAAAAAUCACGUUCGACUUGCAUGUGUAGCACGCCGCCAGCGUUCGUCCUGUAGCGACGGAUCGAAAACUACU